rnacentral:pre_miRNA from 1 species
UAGCGCCCUGUCGAACUGGGGCAGUUCGAUAGGUACCCCUGUCGAACUGGGGCAGUUCGAUAGGUACCCCUGUCGAACUGGGGCAGUUCGACAGGGUA